GGGUCAGUAGGUUGGUCGUGCCACCGGUACGUACUGGUCUCACUGAUUCCUCCUUCCUGAAGAACCGUAAUGCCAUUAAUUUGGUGUUGCGAGGAAACAGGACUGUUACUUUGAAAAAAUUAGAGUGUUUAAAGCAAGCUAACGCUUGAAUACAUUAGCAUGGAAUAAUGAAAUAGGACGAUCGAUCCUAUUUUGUUGGUUUCUAGGAUUGACGUA
rnacentral:rRNA from 1 species